GCUCGCUCCCAGUGGCGUCCGGAUGGGGGGGGGGAAGGGGGACAGGCCUUCGGACGCCGCAGUCGCCGCCGCCUCUCUCUCCUACUUCCCGGUUUCUGCAGCCUCUAGGGCAUCUGGCAUAAGUGUAAAGCCAUAUCAUAAACUGCAGAAGAAAGAUUGACCUUUGGACAUUGGUGAUGAAACUCUAAGGACUCAUUUGAGCUGCUAAAGGCAUAUAUAAAUGAAGAAAAAUUUACAACUACACAAGAUUUAAGUGUCCUUCCUUCACCACGGGUCAUUAAAGUACCUUCUAGAACAGAUCCUUUGG
rnacentral:lncRNA from 1 species